AGCUUGAAAUCUAGCUUUUUUCAAAUUUCAUUUACUUUUUUUGGCAUACAAAAUUUGUUUUUUGAUUGUAAUAUUUGUUAAUGUUUAUCAAGAAAUCGGAUUUUGUUAUAUCAUCCAAUUUUUUUGUAUAAAUUUAUGGGGAUAAAAUCAUGUCAUUACUUUAAUUACAAAUUCAAAAACAUAUAUCAAUAAAAUACAGUUAUCUUUUAUUUUGAUGAGUUUUUAUGAUUCAAGCUCCUGAAAGUGGAGAGCAUUUCGAAAUGUCGUUAAAAAAGACUUGCGUGCUGUCUGCCGCCGCACAUAGCUGGCGGAAUCCUAAAGAUAACACCCGCGGAAUUCCGAGUGUAAAUACAUGUGCUUUAUUUUUACCGAUUAAAGUCAAUAUCUUUGAUAUAUGUA